rnacentral:rRNA from 1 species
CCUACGGGAGGCUGCAGUGAGAAAUAUUGGUCAAUGGACGAGAGUCUGAACCAGCCAAGUAGCGUGAAGGAUGACUGCCCUAUGGGUUGUAAACUUCUUUUAUAUGGGAAUAAAACGUUCCAAGUGUGGGAUGUUGUAUGUAACAUAUGAAUAAGAAUCGGCUACAUCCGUGCCAGCAGCCGCGGUAAUACGGAGGAUCCGAGCGUUAUCCGUAUUUAUUGGGUUUAAAGGGAGCGUAGGUGGAUUGUUAAGUCAGUUGUGAAAGUGUGCGGCUCAACCGUAAAAUUGCAGUUGAAACUGGCAUUCUUGAGUACAGUAGAGGUGGGCGGAAUUCGUGGUGUAGCGGUGAAAUGCUUAGAUAGCACGAAGAACUCCGAUUGCGAAGGCAGUUCACUGGACUGCAACUGACACUGAGGCUCGAAAGUGUGGGUAUCAAACAGGAUUAGAUACCCUUGUAGUC